rnacentral:tRNA from 3 species
GGGCGUGUAGCUCAGUGGUUAGAGCGCUUACCUGAUAAGUAAGAGGUCGAUAGUUCGAUUCCAUCCACGCCCA